UCGAGAAUCUUCCGCAAUGGGCGAAAGCCUGACGGAGCAAUGCCGCGUGCAGGAUGAAGGCCUUCGGGUCGUAAACUGCUGUCACCGGGGAUGAAUAAUGACAGUACCCGGGGAGGAAGUCACGGCUAACUACGUGCCAGCAGCCGCGGUAAUACGUAGGUGACGAGCGUUGUUCGGAAUUAUUGGGCGUAAAGGGUUCGUAGGAUGUUUAUUAAGAUUGGUGUGAAAUCCCAAGGCUCAACCUUGGAACUGCAUUGAUUACUGAUGAACUAGAGUAUCGUAGAGGAAAGCGGAAUUCCAGGUGUAGCGGUGGAAUGCGUAGAUAUCUGGAAGAACACCGACAGCGAAGGCAGCUUUCUGGGCGAUAACUGACUCUGAGGAACGAAAGCAUGGGGAGCAA
rnacentral:rRNA from 1 species